UACGUAGGGGGCUAGCGUUGUCCGGAUUUAUUGGGCGUAAAGAGCGUGUAGGCGGCCAGGUAGGUCCGGUGUGAAAACUCGAGGCUUAACCUCGAGAUGUCAUCGGAAACCAUCUGGCUAGAGUCCGGAAGAGGAGAGUGGAAUUCCUGGUGUAGCGGUGAAAUGCGCAGAUAUCAGGAAGAACACCAAUGGCGAAAGCAGCUCUCUGGGACGGUACUGACGCUGAGACGCGAAAGCCAGGGGAGCAAACGGG
rnacentral:rRNA from 1 species